rnacentral:misc_RNA from 1 species
GAUGAAGAACGUAGUGAAAUGCAAUAAGUAAUGUGAAUUGCAGAAUUCAGUGAAUCAUCGAAUCUUUGAACGCACAUUGCGCCCGCCAGUAUUCUGGCGGGCAUGCCUGUUCGAGCGUCAUUACAACCCUCAGGCCCCCGGGCCUGGCGUUGGGGAUCGGCGGAGCCCCCCGUGGGCACACGCCGUCCCCCAAAUGCAGUGGCGGUCCCGCCGCAGCUUCCAUCGCGUAGUAGCUAACACCUCGCGACUGGAGAGCGGCGCGGCCACGCCGUAAAACACCCAACUCUUCUGAAGUUGACCUCGAAUCAGGUAGGAAUACCCGCUGAACUUAAGCAUAUCAAUAAGCGGAGGA